GGAUCGGUUCAUUUUGGAUCUUUUUGGAUAUUUCAAUAUUUUGAGUAUUUGUUUGGGGGGGGAGGGGGGGUUUGGCAAUUUCAAAUCUUUUUGGUGUCCUAAAUAAUCAAACCAAUCCAAAUCUGAUACGUACCCAAAUAGUACAUUAAUUUUAUAGAUAUUUGAAUUAUGGAUUCAAACCGACCCUAAUCCAAAAGGAACCAACACAAGCUUGAACCAAAAAAAUACCUAGUUAUGUUCAAAAUGUCUGAACCCAAAAUAAAAUGAUCUGUACCUACCCCAAAACCCGAUGCUCAGACCUAUUCUCUUUCACUAACUUUUGUGUGUUUUUUAAAAAUGUUAUAUUUGCUAAAUUGAUGAGAUUUAAGAGUUAUUUGACAUAUUUUGGCUAAGUUAAUAGUAUAAAUUUGUAAGGUUUUUAAUAGUUUUAAACUUAUUUUAAAUAACAAAUUUUAUUAUAAAUGAUUUUUAUAAAAAGUUAAUUUAAAGUAAAAGAAAAUAUAAUUUUGUUUUUAACAGAUGGUUUGAUUUAUUAAAUUUAAUUUUGCAAAAAUUUGGAACUAUGUGAUGCGUUACAGAUAUUGUUCUACUAUACUAAUAAUAUAUUAAGUUGAUCUACCACUAAACUUGAUAUAAGUCUGGGUGUGGCAUAUGUCUGUUGCAUGUCAUAGAUAUUAUUCUACUAUACUAAAUGUAUUUUAUAUAUGUUUUAGUAUUACAAAUAUUGUUUAAGUUUUGUGUUCAGGUUUUCGAUUUUAGUUUCGGGAUUUGGGUAAAAAUUUCAAUUUAUUUUAAAAAAUAUUUUGGGUAUUCGGAAAAUUAGCUUUUUUUAAUUUCUCGGAUCAUAACGGAUCGGUUCAUUUUGGAUCUUUUUGGAUAUUUCAAUAUUUUCGAGUAUUUGUUUGGGGGGAGGGGGGGGGGUUGGCAAUUUCAAAUCUUUUUGGUGUCCUAAAUAAUCAAACCAAUCCAAAUCUGAUACGUACCCAAAUAGUACAUUGAUUUUAUAGAUAUUUGAAUUAUGGAUUCAAACCGACCCGGAUCCAAAAGGAACCAACCCAAGCUUGAACCAAAAAAAUACUUAGUUAUGUUCAAAAUGUCUGAACCCAAAAUAAAAUGAUUCGUACCUACCCCAAAACCCGAUGCUCAGACCUAUUCUCUUUCACUAACUUUUGUGUGUAUUUUAAAAAUGUUAUAUUUGCUGAAUUGAUGAGAC
rnacentral:lncRNA from 1 species